GUAAACUCCGUGCAGGAGGCGGAGGAAGUACGGAGGGGGCAAGGGGGAAUCGGAAGUACUGGGCGUAAAGCGUACGCAGGCGGGUGGAUAAGUCAGAGUUGAAAGCCCCGGGCUCAACCUGGGAACUGCAGUUGAAACGGUUCGACUAGAGUCUUGGAGAGGGGGGUAGAAGUCCAGGUGUAGCGGUGAAAUGCGUAGAGAUCUGGAGGAAUACCGGUGGCGAAGGCGGCCCCCUGGACAAAGACUGACGCUCAGGUGCGAAAGCGUGGGGAGCAAACAGGAUUAGAUACCCGUGUAGUC
rnacentral:rRNA from 1 species